rnacentral:tRNA from 1 species
GCUUCGGUGGCUGAGUGGUAGAGCACUUGGUUCCCGAACCGAGAGGUUCCGAGUUCAAAUCUCGGUGAAGACU